AGAUUAAGUUAUUAAGGGCGCACGGUGGAUGCCUUGGCACUAGAAGCCGACGAAGGACGUUACUAACGACGAUAUGCUUUGGGGAGCUGUAAGUAAGCUUUGAUCCAGAGAUUUCCGAAUGGGGAAACCCAGCACGAGUUAUGUCGUGUUAUCUGCAUGUGAAUACAUAGCAUGCAAGAAGGCAGACCCGGAGAACUGAAACAUCUUAGUACCCGGAGGAAGAGAAAGAAAAAUCGAUUCCCUGAGUAGCGGCGAGCGAAACGGGAAGAGCCCAAACCAAUAAGCUUGCUUAUUGGGGUUGUAGGACACUCUGUACGGAGUUACAAAAGAAUUGGUUAGACGAAUAACCUGGAAAGGUUAAUCAGAGAAGGUAAUAAUCCUGUAGUCGAAAACGAAUUCUCUCUUGAGUGGAUCCUGAGUACGACGGAGCACGUGAAAUUCCGUCGGAAUCUGGGAGGACCAUCUCCUAAGGCUAAAUACUCUCUAGUGACCGAUAGUGAACCAGUACCGUGAGGGAAAGGUGAAAAGUACCCCGGAAGGGGAGUGAAAGAGAACUUGAAACCGUGUGCUUACAAGUAGUCAGAGCCCGUUAAUGGGUGAUGGCGUGCCUUUUGUAGAAUGAACCGGCGAGUUACGAUCUGAUGCAAGGUUAAGCAGAAAAUGUGGAGCCGUAGCGAAAGCGAGUCUGAAUAGGGCGAAUGAGUAUUUGGUCGUAGACCCGAAACCAGGUGAUCUACCCUUGGUCAGGUUGAAGUUCAGGUAACACUGAAUGGAGGACCGAACCGACUUACGUUGAAAAGUGAGCGGAUGAACUGAGGGUAGCGGAGAAAUUCCAAUCGAACUUGGAGAUAGCUGGUUCUCUCCGAAAUAGCUUUAGGGCUAGCCUCAAGUGAUGAUUAUUGGAGGUAGAGCACUGUUUGGACGAGGGGCCCCUCUCGGGUUACCGAAUUCAGACAAACUCCGAAUGCCAAAUAAUUUAACUUGGGAGUCAGAAUGUGGGUGAUAAGGUCCAUAUUCGAAAGGGAAACAGCCCAGACCACCAGCUAAGGUCCCAAAAUAUAUGUUAAGUGGAAAAGGAUGUGGCGUUGCCCAGACAACUAGGAUGUUGGCUUAGAAGCAGCCAUCAUUUAAAGAGUGCGUAAUAGCUCACUAGUCGAGUGACACUGCGCCGAAAAUGUACCGGGGCUAAACAUAUUACCGAAGCUGUGGAUUGUCCUUUGGACAAUGGUAGGAGAGCGUUCUAAGGGCGUUGAAGCAUGAUCGCAAGGACAUGUGGAGCGCUUAGAAGUGAGAAUGCCGGUGUGAGUAGCGAAAGACGGGUGAGAAUCCCGUCCACCGAUUGACUAAGGUUUCCAGAGGAAGGCUCGUCCGCUCUGGGUUAGUCGGGUCCUAAGCUGAGGCCGACAGGCGUAGGCGAUGGAUAACAGGUUGA
rnacentral:rRNA from 1 species